UUCUGCUGGAUUGUGCCACCAC
rnacentral:misc_RNA from 1 species